rnacentral:rRNA from 1 species
GACGAACGCUGGCGGCGUGCUUAACACAUGCAAGUCGAACGGAAAGGCCCUGCGUUUGUGGGGUGCUCGAGUGGCGAACGGGUGAGUAACACGUGAGUAACCUGCCCUUGACUUUGGGAUAACUUCAGGAAACUGGGGUUAAUACCGGAUAGGAGCUCCUGCUGCAUGGUGGGUGUUGGAAUGUUUCGGCGGUUGGGGAUGGACUCGCGGCUUAUCAGCUUGGUGGUGGGGUAGUGGCUUACCAAGGCUUUGACGGGUAGCCGGCCUGAGAGGGUGACCGGCCACAAUGGGACUGAGAUACGGCGCAGACUCCUACGUGCGGCAACGGUGGGGAAUAUUGCACAAUGGGGGGAAGCCUGUUGCGGCAACGCCGCGUGCGGGAUGACGGCUUUUGGGUUGUAAACCGCUUUCGCCUGUGACGAAGCGUGAGUGACGGUAACGGGUAAAGAAGCACCGGCUAACUACGUG